AUGUUUGUUCCGGCAGCACAUAUGCUAACAUUAGAACAAUACAGAGAAGAUUAGCGUGGCCCUUGCGCAAGGAUGACACGCAAAUUUUUGAGGAGUUCCAUAUUUUU
rnacentral:snRNA from 1 species